rnacentral:rRNA from 1 species
CGCGUAGGCGGUCUUGUCGGUCAGAUGUGAAAGCCCGGGGCUCAACCCUGGAAGUGCAUUUGAAACAGCAAGACUUGAAUACUGGAGAGGAGAGCGGAAUUCCUGGUGUAGAGGUGAAAUUCGUAGAUAUCAGGAGGAACACCGAUGGCGAAGGCAGCUCUCUGGACAGAUAUUGACGCUGAGGCGCGAAGGUGUGGGGAGCGAACAGGAUUAGAUACCCUGGUAGUCC